ACUAACAGAGUCUUACAUAAGUAUUUCAUAGCAGAUAUUGUAGUUUACAUAAGUAUGGAAAACUUUCGUAGUUUUCUUAUAUUUGCAUAUAAGUAUUUAGCUAAUUUCGGAUGUUUUAGAUUUAUUUCUUGACAUAGGUUGUUAGAGUAUGGAACUUUUUUGUAUGACAUCCGUUCCGCAAAGUUGAAUUACUUGACGAACUUUGUUCAUAGGGGUUCCUUCUUCGUUUCAUUGGUAAUUAGGUUCAUGUUUGGAUGAGAAGAACAAAUAUGAUAUACCUGCAUCGAUCUGUAACAAGUAUACAUCACCGAAGCAAAGGCAAGAGAUAAACAGAUCAAUUGAGGGAGCCAUACUUGAUGUUGAAAGGAAAGUGUAAAGACACGUAUGAGGAAAGAACACAAUGAUUGAUUGAAAUAUUUGCAGACAUUGAACAACCAAGUGCUUUUGGCCGAUGAAAUCAAUACUAAAGUGGAUAGGGCCAGCUUCGACCUUAAUUCUUGAUGUCAGGAUAAUACUGUCAGCCAGGUGUGAAUGUAGUUUUUGGAGUAUUGAAUGUUCUUGAGUUGAGCUUUGUAGGUUCUUUGUAUGUUUAAUGAAUUUCUAUUGAUAUUUAACUUACUACUGUCCGUAUAAAUGCAACACCAUCUGAUUUUUGUUUCAACAGAGGCUCAAUAGGAACUUUUGAAUAGGUUCUUUCUGUUCAUUUUGCACUGUGUUCCCAAUAUAUAACUGCAUCCCUCAUAGGUGGCAUCAUCAGCCACGCAAGACAAGUUCAAGAGCUUUUGGUCCCUCGGUAAAGGCAAACCAUGUCUCCUCACUGUUCAUUUUACUUUAUUUAGAUGCACUCAUAUUAUGUAUCAUUUUUCCUUGGUUUUAAGUAAUGAUGCAUACAGAAAUGGAAAUGUGCGUAUGAAUUAAACUAAAUGAACUAUAUCUUCUCUUAUUUAUCCACAAAGUUACCUUGAUUUGGUUUGUCAUGGUGUUCUUUUUGGGUUAGAAUUAUGUGGCUGCUGUUUUAAAUAUUGGGAAGUUCAUAGAUUAUUUUCUUAGUUUAAGGCUCUGAGCAACUUUGGCAGAGAAAUCAAUGUAGGCUGAAUUUAGGGGUGAAUAAGAAUAUUGGAGAUUCUAUGUUUAUCCGGGUGUUGGACGAGAUCUAUAUUGUUGUGUUGUAAAUGUAUGUUUAUCCGGGUGUAGGACAAGAUUCUAUAUUGUUGUGUUGUAAAUAUCGUAUACAAUUUAGACAGUUAGUCAAUCGGAUGUUAUUGAUUAAUGGUUAACUUCAUGAUCGUCGGCCUUGAAGCAGUCGUACUUUUGGUAAAUUUUUAAGUCAAUCUGUUGUUUGAUUAUUUUUGGCAGAUUCUGAGAUUGCGAAAGUUGAACCUAUAGUUGUAUUUUUUGUAUCCUUUAAACCAUAUCUUCCUUUCAAGUGCGAGGUGGUGACGUAACCAACAUUCCUACUCAAAUUUUAUGCUACAUUUACCGGCUGAAUUUCAGCACCAAAAACGCCUCAUGGAGGAAUUUUUAAAUGCUUCUCCGCCAAGUGGAAACCAAGCCUAAUUGUUGGGUAAGUACAUGAAAUACUCCGUAAAGCUCCUUAAAUGAUUUACAAGUUCCAGGGAUUUGGAUAGAUCAACCAAUUAAUCCAAAGCUUUUGUAAUGGACCAAGUUAUUCAAGAGAUAUUUCUGGAGUGAUCUGCCAACUGGACCAGGUUGUUCGACCUUUAUUCAUGUUGCCUUUAAUUCCAUUUCUGGUUGGCAAAGAUCUUUUCUUUCUUUAUGAUUCUUUUUCUUGCAUUAUUGUUCAAUAGGGUUUUAUUUUUGGGUCAAAAAAGUUUAUUAUAUGGCUCACAAAAUUUCUGUGUUUUUGGCUUGCUAUGGUGUUAUUGCUUCGUCAAAGGUUGCGAGGUGACUGUGUGUGGAAAUCUUAGGCCACCGCAUGCAAGUAAAUGAAGAUCAGAGAUGGAUUCAUGAUUUCAUCCGGUCAGCCUGUUAACGAUUACAUCGACUUUUUUGUCAUUUGCUUAUUGAACAGUCGACCUAAUACCCGAAUUUCGCACAUUUUUUGGACGAUCGCAGAUGAGAAAAAAAUUUAUUAGGAAGAGGGAUACGGCAAUGCACAGAUCUAGGUGAUAAAAACUUCUUAAUGAAAUUAGACUGGUAGCUAUACUUGAGCAUAAAAUCUUGGGACGUGUCUUGGUUUCUGUCCAAAUGCAUCUUGGUUACGCGUACCCCUGAAUUCAUGCCUAAUGCCAAAUGAGAUUUUUUUUAAAUAGUUUUAACAUUUUUCAACUAAGAAAAAAUUGCCACUUUA